GGCCAAGUGGGACAUUUGCGUCUCCCUAGCCCAGAGAGGAUAAGAGAGGGAUGGAGGUAGAGAGAUGGAGGGAAGAGAGGGAUGGAGGUAGAGAGAUGGAGGGAAGAGAGGGAUGGAGGUAGAGAGAUGGAGGGAAGAGAGGGAUGGAGGUAGAGAGAUGGAGGUAGAGAGAUGGAGGGAAGAGAGGUAUGGAGGUAGAGAGAUGGAGGGAAGAGAGGUAUGGAGGUAGAGAGAUGGAGGUAGAGAGAUGGAGAGAAGAGAGGGAUGGAGGUAGAGAGAUGGAGGGAAGAGAGAUGGAGGUAAAGAGAUGGAGGGAAGAGAGGGAUGGAGGUAGAGAGAUGGAGGGAAGAGAGGUAUGGAGGUAGAGAGAUGGAGGUAGAGAGAUGGGGAGAAGAGAGGGAUGGAGGUAGAAAGAUGGAGGUAGACAGAUGGAGGGAAGAGAGGUAUAAGAGAGGGAUGGAGGUAGAGAGAUGGAGGGAAUAGAAUAGUGUUAAAUGUAGUGCACUAUAUACAGAAUAGGGUGAGAUGUAGUGCACCAUAUAGGGAAUAGUGUUAAAUGUAGUGCACCAUAUAGGGCAGUGUUAAAUGUAGUACACUAUAUAGGGAAUAAGGUGAAAUGUAGUGCACUAUAUAGGAAAUAGGGUGAAAUGUAGUGCACUAUAUAGGGAAUAGGGUGAAAUGUAGUGUACUAUAUAGGGAAUAAGAUGAAAUGUAG
ensembl:lncRNA